rnacentral:rRNA from 1 species
GACGAACGCUGGCGGCGUGCUUAACACAUGCGAGUCGAACGGAAAGGCCCUGCUUUUGUGGGGUGCUCGAGUGGCGAACGGGUGAGUAACACGUGAGUAACCUGCCCUUGACUUUGGGAUAACUUCAGGAAACUGGGGCUAAUACCGGAUAGAAGCUCCUGCUGCAUGGUGGGGGUUGGAAAGUUUCGGCGGUUGGGGAUGGACUCGCGGCUUAUCAGCUUGUUGGUGGGGUAGUGGCUUACCAAGGCUUUGACGGGUAGCCGGCCUGAGAGGGUGACCGGCCACAUUGGGACUGAGAUACGGCCCAGACUCCUACGGGAGGCAGCAGUGGGGAAUAUUGCACAAUGGGCGGAAGCCUGAUGCAGCAACGCCGCGUGCGGGAUGACGGCCUUCGGGUUGUAAACCGCUUUCGCCUGUGACGAAGCGUGAGUGACGGUAAUGGGUAAAGAAGCACCGGCUAACUACGUG